CUAAGAAUAUUCCGCAAUGGGGGAAACCCUGACGGAGCGACGCCGCGUGGACGAUGAAGGCCGGAAGGUUGUAAAGUCCUUUUAUGACAGAGGAAUAAGCGUGGGAGUGGAAAGCCCAUGUGAUGACUGUAGGUCAUGAAUAAGCACCGGCUAAUUACGUGCCAGCAGCCGCGGUAACACGUAAGGUGCGAGCGUUGUUCGGAAUCAUUGGGCGUAAAGGGUAUGUAGGCGGUCUGUCAAGCCAGGCGUGAAAGCCAGGGGCUCAACCCCUGAACUGCGCUUGGAACUGGCGGACUGGAGUCGCUGAGGGGGAACCGG
rnacentral:rRNA from 1 species